ensembl:lncRNA
AUGGGUGUUGGGGCAGGUUUGGAGCACGAUGGGCGUUGGGUAGGUUUAGGUUGCCAUGGGUGUUGGGCAGGUUUGGACCUCAAUGUGCAUUGGGGCAGGUUAGGGCAGGUUUGGGCCGCGAUGGGCGUUGGGGUAGGUUUGGACCAUGAUGGGCAUUGGGUAGGUUUAGGCUGCGAUGGAUGUUGGGGCACGUUUGGAUUGCAAUGGGCGUUGGGGCAAGUUUGGGCCACAGUGGGCAUUGGGGCAGGUUUGGACCACGAUGGGCGUUGGGUAGGUUUAGGUUGCGAUGGGUGCUGGGGCAGGUUUGGACCACGAUGGGCGUUGGGGCAGGUUGUGGCGGUGGAGAAGGCAACCGGGGUUUUGCUCUAUUUGCUGCAGGGACGGAGCAACCGGCACGGGCACACUCGCGCGCGUCCCACUCCCGCGUCCUCUGUUUAACGCAGACCUCCAGCGAUAUUUAGGUGCUCCGUUAAGUGCAAUGAAGCCGUUGCGUUGCCUCCACGUGUGAAACCCGGCCUUCAGCCUCGCCGAAGACCCCCCGGCCAGCGUUUGGCCUUCACCUGCGAGUAAAUCUGUGAGCUUUCAGAGACGUAUAGACGUGCAUAUAACGUAUUUCUUUCUUUCGUUCUUUGUUUUCUC